rnacentral:rRNA from 1 species
AUUGAACGCUGGCGGCAGGCCUCACACAUGCCAGUCGAGCGAACGGCGGACGGGUGCUUAAUGUAUGGGGAUCUGCCCGAUAGAGGGGGAUAACUACUGGAAACGGUGGCUAAUACCGCAUACUAUCGGAUGAACCCAUAUUGGAUGAUCUAGUAGGUGGGGUAAAGGCUCACCUAGGCAACGAUCUCUAGCUGGUCUGAGAGGAUGAUCAACCACAUGUGUACUGGGACACGGCCCAGACGCUUGCGGUAGGCAGCAGUGGGGAAUAUUGCCCAAGGGGCGCAAGCCUGAUGCAGCCAUGCCGCGUGUAUGAAGAAGGCCUUCGGGUUGUAAAGUACUUUCAGCGGGGAGGCGUUACCCGCAGAAGAAGCACCGGCUAACUCCGUGCCAGCAGCCGCGGUAAUUC